rnacentral:rRNA from 1 species
UACGUAGGGUGCGAGCGUUGUCCGGAAUUACUGGGCGUAAAGAGCUCGUAGGUGGUUUGUCGCGUUGUUCGUGAAAACCUGAGGCUUAACCUUGGGCGUGCGGGCGAUACGGGCAGACUGGAGUACUGCAGGGGAGACUGGAAUUCCUGGUGUAGCGGUGAAAUGCGCAGAUAUCAGGAGGAACACCGGUGGCGAAGGCGGCUUUCUGGGCCUUACCUGACGCUGAGGAGCGAAAGCGUGGGGAGCGAACAGG